CACAAGCGUAAAAUGAUUAUUGUUCUGUAACAGACUUACUAAUAUAAUGAAAAUUCAACUACAAAUCACUGUAUAAACAUGACUCACUUCAACAUUUACAAAUAUUUAUUAACAUUGGAAAUACUUAGCUACUAAGCAACGAAUCAACAAAAACUUAAUUAGGUAUAAAAAAUAUUAUUUCCUAUAAUGAACACAAAAACACAAAAAUGGACAAAGAAUGCACAUGUAUCUAAUAUUAUAUGCAAACGAACAUAAUCUCAAAAAACUAGAUUUAAGAUGCACAGUAACUUAACAAAUUAUCAAUCCAAACUUAGCUAAUAAUAUAAUAUAUAGACCCAACGAAUCGGAACAACAAAUUUUGGAUCUAGCUGCCUCACACAAUUCAUAAAUCAUACAAAGACGUUUAGCUAUUGCCUUAUGCGUAAUCUUCCUCAUGGGAAGAGUAUUGUGGAGAUGAGUCAGUGUUUGAAGCACGCUCAACAUACUCAACAGACUCACCACGGGCACCGCCCUUUCUGGAUUUCUCUUUCUCAACUUUCUUUUGCUCAGAAUAGUUAAGCUUAAAGUUACCAGAUUCCCAGGGCUUGAUGACAGACAUAUACAACUCAUUAAUUUCUUCCAAAGUAAGACCUUUAGUCUCUUUAGCAAACAAGAAAAUAACAAUUGCACCGGUCAAAUUACAAGAAGCAAAAACGUAACCGUACUUGAAUCCAAUAGAAGCUUGAAUGAAUGGAGUAAAGAAUGAAAUUAGGAAAUUCCAGAGCCAGUUGCUAGCAGUAGCGACGGCAGCACACUUAGAGCGGUAACGAACAGGGUAUGACUCACCAACAAUAACGUAUGCGGCA